GGAUGUGAGGGUGAUCUGGCUGUGACAUCUGUCACCCCAUUGAUUGCCAGGGUUGAUUUGGCUGAUCUGGCUGGCUAGGCGAGUGUCCCCUUCCUCCCUCACCGCUCCAAGAGUGUCCCUCUCAAAGCUGUAUGCUCAGUGGAAGAAGACGGUGGAAGAGGAUGGCCUUCCAGGAAACAGAGAUGGACGGGUCUUAGGUCUUCAGUUGAGGGUACAAAAGAAGCUGCGCUCCCCUGCUAGGAUCUUCAUUCAUGCUCUGAAGAGUAACUCUAUACUAUGUAUCUGAAGCAACAGGGGGAGGCAGUAUGAGCUCUUUGGAUAUGGCAAGUUUUUGCUGUUUC
rnacentral:snRNA from 1 species